rnacentral:rRNA from 1 species
UGGUGGAGUGAUUUGUCUGGUUAAUUCCGAUAACGAACGAGACUCUGUCCUGCUAAAUAGUCCCGGCGUCUCUUUUCGCGCUGGGAGUUCUUCUUAGAGGGACUGGCGGCGUCUAGCCGCACGAGAUUGAGCAAUAACA